UCCUGGUCCUCCCAGCAGCUUGGAAGGGGUGCUUUGCUGUUGCUACACCUGAGGUUUUACAUCUACCAGCUGGAGAGGAAUUUUACUUUGCGUCAGUUAAAUAUUAAGCAUAUUUCAGAAAACAGACAAACGUUUCUUUGUGACCUGAAGCCGCAGGAGAGCAUCUGCUACUGUAAUGCCAGUUGAACAAUGAUGACAGCCAACUAUGAAGAGAAAGGAGGCACAGAGAGUUCGGAUUGUAGUGAAGCUCAGCACCUUGCUGUGGAGGACAAGGCUUCCUGCAGGAAUGUGGACAUGCUGGUCUGAAAUUUAUCACACACAGGUCCUAAAUCGCAGACAUGACCCUCAAGAUGUCCCACUGUGGGGAAAUCUGGCAGGUUGUUUAAAGAAAAUUCACACCCUGGAGGAUGAGCCCCUGCCUUUCCUGCCAAAGCCACCAAAAGGAAAACGUUGGAGAUGGGCUUACUGGGAGAAACACUAACCAGACAGGACAUCAUGGAGUGCUGGACAAACGGAGGGUGUGAGGUUGCAGUGAAGCAUGAGGCUGAAAGAGAGAAGUGAAGAUAGUGAGCAUGAUUGCAGAGGCUGCCUGCACAGCUGCUGGGACCCAUGCCAGGAGAGGAGAAGUGGGUGCUGAGGAUCUCCACAUACCCUCCAGUCACACCACCCUUGUGCAAAGUACAACUAUCCACAGAAAACUUAGAGAGAAACAUUU